AGCUCCGAUAGCGUAUAUUAAAGUUGUUGCAGUUAAAAAGCUCGUAGUUGAACUUCUGCAAGUCGAGGAUCGGACCUUUUCGGUACGCAUCCUUCUUGCAUCCCAUUAGAUUUAACAUCACGGUCUUUGGUGGUCGGUUGUAAAAUCUAUGAAUUUACUUUGAAAAAAUUAGAGUGUUUCAAGCAGGCGAUUUGCUGGAAUACAUUAGCAUGGAAUAAUAGAACAGGACCUUUCUGUCAUUUUAUUGGUACAUGACAAUAGGUAAUGAUUAACAGGGACAGUUGGGGGCAUUAGUAUUAUUUCAGAAGAGGUGAAAUUCAUUGAUUGAGAUGAGACUAACUUAUGCGAAAGCAUUUGCCAAGGAUGUUU
rnacentral:rRNA from 1 species